AACGAACGCUGGCGGCAGGCUUAACACAUGCAAGUCGAACGGGUGCAGCAAUGCAUCAGUGGCAGACGGGUGAGUAACACGUGGGAACCUUCCUAGAGGUACGGAACAACUCAGGGAAACUUGAGCUAAUACCGUAUACGCUCUUGCGAGGAAAGAUUUAUCGCCUUUAGACGGGCCCGCGUCGGAUUAGGUAGUUGGUGGGGUAACGGCCUACCAAGCCUACGAUCCGUAGCUGAUCUGAGAGGAUGAUCAGCCACACUGGGACUGAGACACGGCCCAGACUCCUACGGGAGGCAGCAGUGGGGAAUCUUGGACAAUGGGCGCAAGCCUGAUCCAGCCAUGCCGCGUGAGUGAAGAAGGCCUUCGGGUUGUAAAGCUCUUUUGUCAGGGACGAUAAUGACGGUACCUGAAGAAUAAGCCCCGGUAAACUUCGUGCCAGCCGCCGCGGUAA
rnacentral:rRNA from 1 species